CUAACAGGUGUUGAUGAAAUGCCUUUUCAUUCAAUAGUGACUACCAGUAACUAAAUAAUCACUGUUAGUUUUGCUUAUCAUAACAGCUGAACACAUGAGACUGUGUUAUAGAAAUAUCUGCGGCACAUCAGUAAAAAGGGUCAAAGCAGAUUCAUCAGGCUAUAACAUUAUCGUUAGAUUUUACUUAAUUUCGUUAAGAUUUGAGUUGCUAUGGAAACAGAGCUAAAUGUCAGUGGAAUAUAGCAAUCAAAUUUCCUUCUUUAGACAGCUAAUUUAUAAACAUGUACUUCAUAGCUGAUUAAUUGCUAAUGUCAGACCUUUGGAAAAUCUGUCUUUGCUUAGUAUUCCAUAAGGUAUCAACAAGAAAACACAUCAAUAAAUAAAAUGUAGAAUUAUGUUAACUAACAUGUAAAAUAUCAUGCACUAUGCUGGAUUUUCGUCCAGUGGACCUCUGGGUGCAAAUUUGUAAUCAUUGCCUUUCUACCGCAUUUGAAGUAAAACACCAUGACAUAUUUAAUGGAAUGAUUUCACAUUUGUUCUAUAGUAUGUUUAAUUUAAGGUAGUAGCUAUAUCCAGUUACAUUUCAUGAAUGCAUCUAAAGUUAAAAUUUCUGUACAAUGUAGAAUGCUCGGAUGAUAAAAAUCAACAUAUUUAACAAGGAAGGGACAAUUUACCAUCUACUAGUAUUUAAUUAUGUCC